UGAACGCUAGCUACAGGCGUUAACACGAUGCAAGUCGAGGGGCGAGGCGAUGGGGACGGUUUCGGCACCCCGAUCGGCGACCGGCGGAUGGGUGAGUAACGCGUAUCCAACCUGCCCCUGUCCCGGGGACAGCCCCUUAGAAAUGAGGAUUAACCCCCGAUGGCGCGGAUUAGCCGCAUGGUUGUUCCGCCAAAUGCGAAGGACAGGGAUGGGGAUGCGUUCCAUUAGGCAGCAGGCGGGGUAACGGCCCACCUGGCCCGCGAUGGAUAGGGGUUCUGAGAGGAAGGUCCCCCACACUGGAACUGAGACACGGUCCAGACUCCUACGGGAGGCAGCAGUGAGGAAUAUUGGUCAAUGGCCGAGAGGCUGAACCAGCCAAGUAGCGUGAAGGAUGACUGCCCUAUGGGUUGUAAACUUCUUUUGUACGGGAAUAACCUGGCCCACGUGUGGGUUUCUGCAUGUACCGUACGAAUAAGCAUCGGCUAAUUCCGUGCC
rnacentral:rRNA from 1 species